UUAAGUUCAGCGGGUAAUCCUACCCGAUUUGAGAUCAAAAAAAGGUUUGAAAAGAGGCGCAUAUAUGCGCUUCGAUCCUUUUGUCCGAAGACGAUUAGAAGCAAGCCCAACGAGACCGUCAAGUUUGACGCAGAUAAUUAUCACGCCAAGAGACGGUCAGCACAGGGAAGUCUCGCUAAUGGAUUUAAAGGGAGCUGACU
rnacentral:misc_RNA from 1 species